AUGAAUCUCUUCAUCAUCACCUUCAUGUGCAUUCUUGCUGUUUUUAUUCAAGAAUCCAGAGGAGUUACUGUAACUCAGAGUAAAGCUGAACCUGUUUCUGAGGGUCAAAAUGUAAAUAUAAAGUGUACAACUAAUCCUGGAAUAGAUAGCUGGGGUUUAUCUUGGUAUCAGCAGAAACCUGGAGAAGCUCCUAAACUCCUCAUUACUGGAGUAAAUGAUCGUUAUGGUGACACUCCAGAUCGAUUCAGUGGAGAUGGAGAAGAAUAUGGUACAGAUUUCACUCUGAGCAUCAGUGGAGUCAAGAGUGAAGAUGCAGGACAUUAUUACUGUAUGAGUAGACACAGCAUCAGUGGUAGCUAUGUGUUGACACAGUGA